rnacentral:misc_RNA from 1 species
GUGAAUCAUCAAAUCUUUGAACGCAAAUUGCACUCUCUGGUAUUCCGGAGAGUAUGCCUGUUUGAGGGUCAGUUUAAAUAAAAAUCUGUGUGGUUGCUGCCUUUCGUGGUGACGCACCGGAUGUGGGUCGUCUUUCCUUCGGUUAAGCGACCUAAAAUUUUGCAUUUUUUUUUCUGAAGGAUUUAAAUGAUUUUACGUAUGCUUGCUAUAUCAAAUACUAU